rnacentral:rRNA from 1 species
UACAGAGGGUGCGAGCGUUAAUCGGAAUUACUGGGCGUAAAGCGUGCGUAGACGGUUAUUUAAGUCGGGUGUGAAAGCCCCGGGCUCAACCUGGGAAUUGCAUUCGAGACUGAAUAGCUAGGGUACGGUAGAGGGAAGUGGAAUUUCCGGUGUAGCGGUGAAAUGCGUAGAUAUCGGAAGGAACAUCAGUGGCGAAAGCGACUUCCUGGACCAGUACCGACGUUCAGGCACGAAAGCGUGGGGAGCAAAAGGG